CUAACCCUGCGUAACUGGCGAUAGCGACUUUCAAGUCGAAGGUGGAACGACCACCGUGAAGCGCGGGGUGCAGUCUUGCCGUUCGCCUGGGCAGCCGUG
rnacentral:ncRNA from 2 species